AUUGAACGCUGGCGGCAGGCCUAACACAUGCAAGUCGAGCGGAUGAAGGGAGCUUGCUCCUGGAUUCAGCGGCGGACGGGUGAGUAAUGCCUAGGAAUCUGCCUGGUAGUGGGGGAUAACGUCCGGAAACGGGCGCUAAUACCGCAUACGUCCUGAGGGAGAAAGUGGGGGAUCUUCGGACCUCACGCUAUCAGAUGAGCCUAGGUCGGAUUAGCUAGUUGGUGGGGUAAAGGCCUACCAAGGCGACGAUCCGUAACCGGUCUGAGAGGAUGAUCAGUCACACUGGAACUGAGACACGGUCCAGACUCCUACGGGAGGCAGCAGUGGGGAAUAUUGGACAAUGGGCGAAAGCCUGAUCCAGCCAUGCCGCGUGUGUGAAGAAGGUCUUCGGAUUGUAAAGCACUUUAAGUUGGGAGGAGGGGCAGUAAGUUAAUACCUUGCUGUUUUGACGUUACCAACAGAAUAAGCACCGGCUAACUUCGUG
rnacentral:rRNA from 1 species